rnacentral:tRNA from 1 species
CCGUUUGCUUUUGGUUCAGUGGUAGAAUGCUCGCCUGCCACGCGGGCGCCCGGGUUCGAUUCCCGGCCGAUGGA